rnacentral:rRNA from 1 species
GAUGAACGCUGGCGGUAUGCUUAACACAUGCAAGUCGAACGGUACCUUCGGGUAUAGUGGCGGACGGGUGAGUAACGCGUGAGAAUCUAUCUUCAGGUCGGGGACAACAGUUAGAAAUGACUGCUAAUACCGGAUGUGCCGAAAGGUAAAAGAUUUAUUGCCUGAAAAAGAGCUCGCGUCAGAUUAGCUAGUAGGUGGUGUAAGAGACUACCUAGGCUUCGAUCUGUAGCUGGUCUGAGAGGACGAUCAGCCACACUGGAACUGAGACACGGUCCAGACUCCUACGGGAGGCAGCAGUGGGGAAUUUUCCGCAAUGGGCGAAAGCCUGACGGAGCAAUACCGCGUGAGGGACGAAGGCUCUUGGGUCGUAAACCUCUUUUCUCAAGGAAGAUUCAGACGGUACUUGAGGAAUAAGCAUCGGCCAACUCUGUG